AGUGAACGCUGGCGGUAGGCCUAACACAUGCAAGUCGAACGGCAGCACAGUAAGAGCUUGCUCUUACGGGGGGCGAGUGGCGGACGGGUGAGGAAUACAUCGGAAGCUACUUGUUCGUGGGGGAGAACGUAGGGAAACUUACGCUAUUACCGCAUAGGACCUACGGGUGAAAGCAGGGGAUCUUAGGACCUUGCGCGAUUGAAUGUGGCGGUGUCUGAUUAGUUGGGUGGGGGGGUAAAGCCGCCCCAAGGCGACGAUGCGUUGGGGGUCUGAGAGGAUGAACAGACACACUGACACAGAGACACGGUCCACACUCCUACGGGGGGCAGGAGUGGAGAAUUUGGGACAAUGGGCGCAAGCCAGAUACAGCCAUCCCGCGUGGGUGAAGAAGGCCUUCGGGUUGUAAAGCCCUUUUGUGGGGAAAGAAAAGCAGCAGGUUAAUACCCCGCUGUUCUGACGGUACACAAAGAAUAAGCACCGGCUAACUUCG
rnacentral:rRNA from 1 species